UCACGCAAACACAGUCAAGUCUAUAAAUAUAGUUUUGCUCUAUACUCCGAGAACCACAUAGCCUGUCGCUGAGACAUAAAAGAGGUGCAGAUAAGAAAAAGAGCAAUAUGGAGACUAAGACAUCGCCUGAGACAUCGGUUGCUAUGAAAGGAGGAGAUAGCUCUCUCAGUUAUGCAAAAAACUCCACUCUUCAGGUACAUACAUACAUACAUACAUACAUAUAUAUAUAUAUAACUGUGCAUCUAUGAUUCCUACGGUUCCUGUUUCUUCUACAUCUAAUUUUUUCAGGGGGAAAAUUUUCACUCAUAAAUCCUCUGGUUUCAAUCUGAAAAGCAAAAGUAAAGUUGAAACUUCACCAAGAACUUUGAUGGUAUUCAUAUUCGUGAACAGAAAAUUAUUGACCUUUAAUCUGAUUUGGGUUAUCUCAAGAUCUAUUAUUAUGUUUAAUAAUUUUAGAAAUUAAGCAAAGAAUUGUUUAUACUUAUUCUACUAAAUUAUUUUAUAUAAUAAAUAUAUAUAUAUAUACUAAUAAAGUAUUGCAUAAAAUAAUUAUUCUAAGUCAUUCCUAUGCCUAAUUAUGUCAAGAUAUUAUCGGAAGGUAACUUUAAGCGAAAGCAAGGGAGAGAUUGAGUAAAUAAACAUCAAGCUUAUCCCAAAUAAGAUUUUAAGUAAAGGUAAGAGAGAAGUUGAGUAGACAAAGCUCAAUCUUACCCGAAAUAAGAUCGAUAAUUAAAAGAAAUUUUUUGUAUUUGCUUAUAAACGAAACUUAUUAAAACCUUAUAUAUGUGUAUUAGUUGCCAAUAAUAGAUAUUGAGAGGUAUUAAGAGGUGGUAACU
rnacentral:lncRNA from 1 species